CGGACGGGUGAGUAACGCGUAAAGAACUUGCCCUUUAGACUGGGAUAACAGAGGGAAACUUCUGAUAAUACUGGAUAAGUUAGUAUAUCGCAUGAUAUGCAAAUGAAAGCUACGGCACUAAAGGAGAGCUUUGCGUCCUAUUAGCUAGUUGGUAAGGUAAGAGCUUACCAAGGCGAUGAUAGGUAGCCGGCCUGAGAGGGUGGACGGCCACAAGGGGACUGAGAUACGGCCCAGACUCCUACGGGAGGCAGCAGA
rnacentral:rRNA from 1 species